AUGGCCGUCGUCUGGUUCAGGUGCUACCUCCGGCUGUUGGACAAUCAGGCGCUGGAGUGCGCGUUGGUGGCCUCUGGCACGGUCUUCACCAACGGCAGGGGCUCGCCGACGCUGCAGUGCUGCAAGGCGGUGGUCGGGGUGAUCUGCACCAGCGUCGACUGUGUGUGCCUCAUCCUCACCGGCAACAUGGCCUUUGGCCUCCCCAUCAACAACCGCACUGUCGCCAUCUCCCUUCCCAAGAUCUGCAAGUCACUCUCCGUCCCGCUCGUUUGUAGAGAUACAGCGGCGCAGAUCCCAGCUCCAGAUUUUCGACAAUCAUGGAAAUCGCUUUGGGACCCCAAAACGGUGAGUAAUAGUCCAUGA
rnacentral:rRNA from 1 species